AGCUAUUACAACUAUUUUAGAAUUUUUUCUAGCAGGUUUUCUGAUUUUGUUUGGAAACCCAA
rnacentral:snRNA from 1 species